GAAUUCAGACGUGUGCUCUUCCUUGGGGAAGUGUGUCCUCAUCUCUGGGCCUGCUCCCUCAGUGUCUUCUCCAGGGCUGGUGGUGAGGGAGUCAGCCAGGAACUGAUUGCUUGGGCCCUAGCACUUCUGCUUUGGAAGAGUUCCCUGGGAUAGCCAAGCCUUGAGCUACUGAGCAGUACUGGUCCGCUCUCCGUUCUGACAUUUGAUUUGUGCCUGCACUAGUUGAGUACUAGGAAUGCAGAGCUUAGGCCUCUUCCCUGUCUGCUUGAAGCUCACUGGGAAGAAGAGUAAGACAGCCUUAAGGCAUGUAACUUUAUUGACAAUGUAUUAAAUGCCCUCUAAGUUGUAUGUAUGAGGAGGAUCUGUGAAGGCUUCUAGAAGAGAAGAGGAAGCUUGGAACUAAUGGUAGGAAAUCAGAGGAACUGGACAGGCAAAUACUGUUAGGAGAGUGGGGAAGAGGGGGUUAGUUAGAGGAGGGGUUGUGGAAAUACAUUUUAGGCAGUAGAUAAAGCUCAUGCAGAAGUGUGGGGGUAUGAAACAGUCAUCUCCCUUUUGUGAUUCAGAUUCUGCACUGUUGCCAUGACUAGCAUCAAGUGUUAGAGAAAGGCAGGCUGGGAGUGAUGGGGAAGAGAGAUGGUAGAGGCAGGCCAGACUACGGUGGACCUUGUGUGCCAGGAUGAGGAGUUGGACUUGCUCUUCUAGUGAUGGUGGAAUGCCAUCAUGAGGUUUAAUUGGCCUUGAUUCAUGGGCACAGUAAUGAAGAGCAAAUGAAAGCCUAUUGUGCUGUUUUCAUGGAGUCAUAAAAUCCCAUUUAUGAGUUAAGGAUGUUCUAAACAUUAAUACCAGAGGGAGUAUGUUUAUAAUGUCACUCAACAUUUCAGCAAGGCCAUCAUGGCCUAUAAGAUGACCAGGAGAACUUCUUUAAUAAAGGGGACAACAUUUCAGAGAGGUGGUAUAACUGCUUAGUGCUGAAAAACCUUCUCUGCAGGUAGUCCUGUCUGGUGGAGUUGGCACAGGGUGUGUCCUUGCACGGCCUUGCCUGACAGCACGGUGCAGGACAGAUGGCAGGCUCUGCAGUGCAGUAAGACCAUUUGCUGUGCAUUGAUUCUCUCCCCCUCUCUAUAUACCUGCACACAGAUACAGACCUGCCAGAAUGUCAUCUUUGAAUACUGAGUUAAGCAAUAUCAGAGUUAAAAUAAAAAUCAAUGUUUUCAAUUGAUUAAAUGAGCAUAGGACUAGACACAUGGUUAUAACUCAGUAAAAACUUAAUCGAUAUUUCAAAAAACCUUACUUUAAAACAAAGUGAAUUUCAAAAAUUGAAAAACACUUGGUUAAAAAUCUUUUUAAAAAAAUCUAUCUGGAGAGAUUAAGAUUCAGAACUUCUAAUUUGUAAGUUAAAAUAUUCUAUUCACUUGACCUUUUUAAGCAAAGUUUUGCAAGUAAGACUCAAUAGGUCAUGGACUACAUUAGUAAUCUGAUAUUAAAGUGUUCUCAGAGAAUUUACUUCUUUAUAAAUUAUUCAGUGAAGUAAAGAAAAUGGCUUUACUUGGGGGGGUGUCAGUGGGCUGUCAACUUGAAUAUCUUAUUAAGCUUUAUAUAUGUUUUUUGAGGGCGUAGGUGAUGGUUUAGGCGUUCUAAAUCAGUGUAUUGCUUGGUAACAAAAAAUUUGGGCAAGUUUGUGCUUCUUUGCAAGUCUGCCACAUAACACUGAGGUCAAAAGGUACAGUCUGGUAUUGGGAGGCAGACUUGAUCUUGGGCAAUGCGGACCGGAAGGCCUAGCCUUCCACUUGUGUCUUCAUCACUUUGAGGUGUCUGCCCUGGAUGUCUUAUUUACCUCUGUCACUUCAUCUUCUUUUGCAAAAUUAUUCUGAUAACUCUUAACCCUCCUGACCUUUUAUGGUUUUUGUGUGUGUGUGUGUGUGUGAGAGAGAGAAUUGAAUGUUUUAAUUCAAAUGUGAAUGAACAUUUUUAUUUAGCUUGCAGAAUGCUGUACAAAUGUAAGAAGGCAGUGUUAGGUGUCAGAUUUUUUUAGUUUGUUUUAGCAAAAUAGCAUACUUUAACUUCACAUUAGCAUAGUUUAAAUAGUUGUAAGGAAAAGAAAAAGUCUACAUUCACAAACUAAUUAGAUAUUUACAAAUUCUAGGUUUUGGUUAAAAUUUUUACUGAAGAUUGCUGAAUAAAAUUUUUACUGAAAAUUGCUGUUGAAUAAAAAUUUGAAAACAGGGAUUUUUGUGAGGGAGAGAGGGAAAGCUUUAAAUAAAUUAUCUCAUGUUUUCCAAAUAUUCCUUAUUAAAUUUUUGAACGCAGAUAAUUAACUUCUUGGGAACAGUAUAAAUAUCCAUAAAUUUGCCCUUUAGGGUAUUUAAAAAAUAUUGUUUACAGGUUAGGGAAGGGUUUCUCAGAGAGGUUAAUGACUUACUCAUGAUUUACUUAAUAGUAAGUAUAUGAGGAUAUCUGGAAUUAAAUAAAACCUGAGUCUUUUGAUUUGUUGCCUUAUUGUCAAUAUCUGAGUUUGUUUGUGGUGCCAAAUAACCAGGUUAGGAGUUCCCUCGUGGCUCAGCAGGUUAAGGAUUCAGCGUUGUCACUGCUGUGGCUCAGGUCACUGCAGUGGCUUGGGUUUGAUCCCUGGCCUGGCCAAAACAAAACAAAUAAAAAAACCCCAAAACCAAAAUAAUAAGGUUAUUCAGUUUUGGACAUUGAUUUAGACUUAAUCUAAAAAACAUUAAAGUAGUUUAGAAUGUACCCUCCCCCAUGAACUAUUACCUCAAUUGUAUGUAAUAUAUAUUUUAAAUUAUCCUACAAAAAUGUGUUUGUAUAGACCAGUAAUCACAAUUUUUCUUAACUUAGAAAAAUUUAGGUACGUUGGAUUUACUAUUGACAAAUUUGAUCUUAAUCAGAUUUGCCUUGAGUGUUAUAUUGGGGAAUCAGUGAAGUCCUCUGGAAGGUGGCAGUUGUGACUAAAUCCACAUUUCAGGAGGAUAAUGGCAGUUUGUUUUGUUGUUCAUACGCUGUGCGUCUUGAACUUGGCAGCAGGAGUCCUCCAGGGACUAUGGACUAUGGCACUGUGGCACUAGUAGUCCAUCAGUGACAGCCAAGCUGUUUUGAGGUUACAUCUGAAGGGGACAGAGUCCUUGCUGCUUGUUUAUCUCACUAACUUCAGGUGUGGAGAAUGUGUUCUGCAGUCCAAAUCCACUUAAUAUACUGAGAAGGAAAAGAGAAGGAGUUUGAUUCCAGUGCCUAGUAUAGAAAGCAGUAAAGAUUUAGCCAUUGUUACUAUAACUGUUAGAGGCCUUCUAGUUUACCUUCACAACAGAGGAAGUUCAUUUUCAUGUUUACACUUAGUCCCUCUUGCUGCAGUUUUAGCCUCUGAUUAUAAAAUAGCAUCUCAGCAGUAUUUAUAGUAUUUCACAGGUGCCAUCUGGUACCUGUGAAACUCCUGAAUGGACAUGGGUCCCACCCCUUUUCCAUGGUUCCGUUUGAUGCGCUGUACAGCAUCUGGCACAUGGUCAGUCUUGGUAGAGGUUUUUUUAAGAUUGUGACUUUUAUGAUGAAACCAAGUAUUGUGUGAUUUUCAUCUUUUUUUGGGGUGGGGGCAUAUGGAGGUUUCCAGGCUAGGGGUCAAAUUGGAGCUGUAGCUGCUGGCCUACACCACCGCCACAGCAAUGCAGGAUGCGAGCCGCAUCUGCAGCU